AGGGUUAUUGGGCAAACAUGGCCUAAACUUGCAACAUAUCUGUAUCACAUUUCAGCUUCUGAUAGAACUGCAUGCAACAGGCCUAGGAGAUGUAACCGAGCUGUGUAGAGACACCACACCGGCUCGGUUAGUAUCUGAAGCCGGUUAGGUGCAAACUCAAUCCCGAGGACUGCUGGCCAUCAUCCACACACAAACACCGAGGUUUCUGCACAAUGCUUUCCUGAGAGAAGAAGAUCAAUUACCUGCAAACACGCGCCGAAACAACAUGUUGCAUUCACCGGUAAUGAAUGUAUCCAAGUCGCCGCAACACUCCAACCCUGAGUGGGAGGAGGAGGAGGAGGAAGGGACUCGAACCGCUUUCAACUCUGUCUGACCAGCGAUCAAAUCAACUUGUCGCCAUGGAGCGAUCAAAGCAACCCGGAUUCUAUCAGUGCUGAGGUUAUUGUGUUGAAAACCGGAACAAUCAAUGCAGCAUUAUUAUUAUUAUUAUUAUUAUUAUUAUUAUUAUUAUUAUUAGUGUCCCUCCUCCUCAGAAUGCUGGCUGUUCUCCACCACGUCUACAGCCGGAAUGGCUCGAGUCCCAUCUGGGAAAUGAAGCUUGUUUCAGCUUGUUCCCCAUGACAUGCAGGGUGAGGAGUUCUGCACUGUUGCGACACACUUUUUUUUUUUUUUUUUUGCUCAACAACAUGGAAGGCAAAAUACAAGACUUCCCAGUCUUACAUCCUGUACAUUACUUUAAAAAAAACAACAACAACAACAACAACACUAAUGCUAGAAGCAGGUAUUCUCUGUUAAAAGAUACACCAUCUAGGCUGUUUGCAUGAGCAUGCUAACAGUAGCCUAAACCCACCAUAAUAAACAUCAAACACUUCCAUCAAACACCCUCACUGAGGCAGAAACAACAGGAAAAUAGCCUACGUUACUUCGCCAUGCAUUCGACGUGUUGCCUAGGAAAAGUUGACGAGUUUUUCUGUUUCAACACCGAUUUCAUCCCAGUGAGACACUUUCCCGUGGAUCCGGGGCCCGUGGCGACAUUCUAAACCUGUGACGUCAGCUCGGUGAGGGGCGCACGUGCUGCACCGUGCACUCAGUGUCCCAUAUUGGAGUGACAGAUGGCGCCCAUCCUCAUCCACAGAAAUAACAACCGGACACCAAAGGCGAAAUAAAUCCUUAUUUGGCACAGAGGUUUACCGUCCAAACAAGAUCACAUGGGAUUACCUUUCACAGGUGAGACUGGAAAAAUACUUUUCAAUACUGUUCCUUCAGUCUUCAGUUUCCCAGCUCAUCUCCACCGGGUAGGUAUAGAGUUAUAAGCAGUGAGAAUUAGAUAAUACAGUGCCACACUAUGAUGAACGUUUUUGAACGUAUGAUGAAUGUUAUUUUUAUGUUUUUUUUCUUCUUUUAUGGUAAAUACUUCUCUUCAAAAGAAACUAAUGAAGAGUAAAAUAAAACAUUUUUUUUAUUUUCACAGUGAUAUGCACUUUAUUUUUCAUCCCUUGGUUUUCUCAUCUAAUAUGGAAGUUAUGGAUGUCAGUGGCUGUGACAAGACGUGUUAUGCUCUGCAAUAAAAAAAACAACAACAUUGGUACAAAGCAAGCCCAUUCACUUUUUUAU